rnacentral:rRNA from 1 species
CGGAGGAAAAGGAAACAACCGGGAUUGCCUUAGUAACGGCGAGUGAAGCGGCAAAAGCUCAAAUUUGAAAUCUGGUACCUUCGGUGCCCGAGUUGUAAUUUGGAGAGGGCAACUUUGGGGCCGUUCCUUGUCUAUGUUCCUUGGAACAGGACGUCAUAGAGGGUGAGAAUCCCGUGUGGCGAGGAGUGCGGUUCUUUGUAAAGUGCCUUCGAAGAGUCGAGUUGUUUGGGAAUGCAGCUCUAAGUGGGUGGUAAAUUCCAUCUAAAGCUAAAUAUUGGCGAGAGACCGAUAGCGAACAAGUACAGUGAUGGAAAGAUGAAAAGAACUUUGAAAAGAGAGUGAAAAAGUACGUGAAAUUGUUGAAAGGGAAGGGCAUUUGAUCAGACAUGGUGUUUUGUGCCCUCUGCUCCUUGUGGGUAGGGGAAUCUCGCAUUUCACUGGGCCAGCAUCAGUUUUGGUGGCAGGAUAAAUCCAUAGGAAUGUAGCUUGCCUCGGUAAGUAUUAUAGCCUGUGGGAAUACUGCCAGCUGGGACUGAGGACUGCGACGUAAGUCAACGCAACUGCAAG